rnacentral:rRNA from 1 species
GGGGGGGGGGGGGGGGGGGGGGGGGGGGGGCGGGGGGGGGGGAGGGGGGGGGGGGUUGGUCCUCUGAGGUUAGCGGGGGGCGGGUGGGUGAGGCGGGGAGGAGCUACCUCUAGGGCGGGGGUAACGUCGGGAAACCGGAGCUAAUACCGGAUAAUAUGUUGCACCGCAUGGUUCAAUAGUGAAAGACGGUUUUGCUGUCACUUAUAGAUGGCUCCGCGCCGCAUUAGCUAGUUGGUACGGUAACGGCUUACCAAGGCAACGAUGCGUAGCCGACCUGAGAGGGUGAUCGGCCACACUGGAACUGAGACACGGUCCAGACUCCUACGGGAGGCAGCAGUAGGGAAUCUUCCGCAAUGGGCGAAAGCCUGACGGAGCAACGCCGCGUGAGUGAUGAAGGUCUUCGGAUCGUAAAACUCUGUUAUUAGGGAAGAACAAAUGUGUAAGUAACUAUGCACGUCUUGACGGUACCUAAUCAGAAAGCCACGGCUAACUACGUG